rnacentral:rRNA from 1 species
AGAGUUUGAUCCUGGCUCAGGACGAACGCUGGCGGCGUGCUUAACACAUGCAAGUCGAGCGGAAAGGCCCUUCGGGGUACUCGGGCGGCGAACGGGUGAGUAACACGUGAGCAACCUGCCCCUAGCUCUGGGAUAGCUCCGGGAAACCGGGAUUAAUACCAGAUACGACCACUUUAGACAUCUGCUGUGGUGGAAAGGAUUCCGGCUAGGGAUGGGCUCGCGGCCUAUCAGCUUGUUGGUGGGGUAACGGCCUACCAAGGCGACGACGGGUAGCCGGCCUGAGAGGGCGACCGGCCACACUGGGACUGAGACACGGCCCAGACUCCUACGGGAGGCAGCAGUGGGGAAUAUUGCGCAAUGGGCGAAAGCCUGACGCAGCGACGCCGCGUGGGGGAUGAAGGCCUUCGGGUUGUAAACCUCUUUCAGCAGGGACGAAGCGAAAGUGACGGUACCUGCAGAAGAAGCGCCGGCUAACUACGUGCCAGCAGCCGCGGUAACACGUAGGGCGCAAGCGUUGUCCGGAAUUAUUGGGCGUAAAGAGCUCGUAGGCGGUCUGUUGCGUCCGCUGUGAAAUCUCGGGGCUUAACCCCGAGCCUGCAGUGGAUACGGGCAGACUAGAGGUAGGUAGGGGAGAAUGGAAUUCCCGGUGUAGCGGUGAAAUGCGCAGAUAUCGGGAGGAACACCGGUGGCGAAGGCGGUUCUCUGGGCCUUACCUGACGCUGAGGAGCGAAAGCGUGGGGAGCAAACAGGAUUAGAUACCCCCGUAGUCC